rnacentral:rRNA from 1 species
CCUACGGGUGGCUGCAGUGGGGAAUAUUGCACAAUGGGCGCAAGCCUGAUGCAGCCAUGCCGCGUGUGUGAAGAAGGCCUUAGGGUUGUAAAGCACUUUCAGCGAGGAGGCGUUACUCGCAGAAGAAGCACCGGCUAACUCCGUGCCAGCAGCCGCGGUAAUACGGAGGGUGCAAGCGUUAAUCGGAAUUACUGGGCGUAAAGCGCACGCAGGCGGUUUGUUAAGUCAGAUGUGAAAUCCCCGAGCUUAACUUGGGAACUGCAUUUGAAACUGGCAAGCUAGAGUCUUGUAGAGGGGGGUAGAAUUCCAGGUGUAGCGGUGAAAUGCGUAGAGAUCUGGAGGAAUACCGGUGGCGAAGGCGGCCCCCUGGACAAGCUGACGCUCAGGUGCGAAAGCGUGGGGAGCAAACAGGAUUAGAUACCCGAGUAGUC